AGAAGAUUUCUAAUGACAUUUUCUAAUGAGAUUUCUCAUACGGUUUUCAAGUUUAUUCACUCUGUAAAGAAUGAGAAAGGUAAAUUGAGUACUAGUUUACCCUAAGCAGAUUUUUUAAGGAAGCCUUUGUCUUCAUUCGGGAAAACGUUUCCAGACAUUUAUGAAGAUAGAAAGGGAGCAGUAUACUAAGUCCACAAAUCGUGCAGGUAAAGCAUUUUACCUGAAGCAGGGAGAUCAGUUAUUUUGCUUCUAGGGAGGAAUAGUAGGGUAGAGAGGGGAAAGGUAAGAAAGGAAGAAGAAGAAAGAGGAUUCAGUCACACAAGGGAGGGGAAGCUAGAUGUUGCAAGAAUUGAAAGGGUAGGAGAAGAUGCUGCUCUCAGACCCAGACAGCUGUGACAGCCCAGAUGUCAUAGGCUCAUCACCAGGUAUGUAUGUGGCUCUCUAGCAACAUUUCUCCUCCUCAACAGAAAGUUACUGAUACAUCAGGCAACUCUGCCAGUCAUGAAUUUCUCCUAAGACCCAGGUUUCCUGUUAUUUAUAGCCCAAGGCAACAGAACUAAAAGAGAGGUUACUUGUCAGUAGCCCGACGCAAGAUAUGAAAGAAAACUGCUGCAAAUAAACGUGUUUAAUAUAUUCCUGACUGAAAGUUUUAUGAUGCAUAGCACAACCUUUAAAGCAAUGUUACAGUUUUUUCUCCCCAAGCAUAAUUUGUUAAUCUAUUUAAAUAUCUAUUAGCUAAUAAAACUGCAAGAUACUUAUUAUGUAUGUUUUAAUGUUCCUGAAAAGUAAAUAACAAAUGACAUAAAAAUCAUUUUACAUUGGCAACUUUUUACUGUUCUGUGUAUUGCUGGCUAAUAAAAACAGAAAACUGUGGAGGGCAUGAAAUCUGUCCUACAACAGAAUUUGUGAAGUAUUUUGAUUAAAUUUUCCUAUACCCCUGAGGACAUAUUCCCAUUUUCCUUAAUAGGAGCAGAAUAUUAUUCACAUUCUAUUAGUAAUGUAUAUUUCCAAGCUAAAUUAGUUCUUAUAAAAUUCUAAUAAUUAGAGAAAUAAUAACAUGGCUGUUUUUAGGCAUUGAACUAAGCAACUUUCUCACAUCUU
rnacentral:lncRNA from 1 species